UGCUCAUAAUACCACCCCUGGUUGAAGUUUCCCCCAGCUCCUAUGCAUGUAGGAAUAAGCAUGUUCUCAGAAAUCCCUGUCACCCACUGGUUGAAGAGUCCCCUCAUGUAGCUUUGUUAACUGAAUAAAGGAGAAAAAUGGUUGGGCAUGGUGGCUCAUGCCUGUAAUCCCAGCACUUUGGGAGGCCGAGGUGGGAGAAUUGCUUGAGUCCUCCCACCUUUUCACUUCACCAUUCCAUAUUUAAGUCAUUUCUCUCUCACAUUUUAUUAUAAGCAGUCAGGAGGAGCCAAGCCACACUUUCAAUACAUUGCAUAGAAAUGUCCUCAGCCAAACAUCUGAUUUCAUCACUCUCAAGUUCUACCUUUCACAAAACACUAGAACACAAACACGGUGUUUGCUUGAGUGGUUAGAGACCAGCCUAGGCAACAUGGUGAGACUCUGCCUCUAUAAAAAAUUUUUUAAAAAUUAGCUACGUGUGGUGGCAGGCACCCAUGGUCCUAGCUCCUAGGGAGGCUGAGGUGUGAGGAUUGCUUGAGCCCAGGAGGUCGAGGCUGCAGUGAGCUGUGAUCAUGCCACUGCACUCCAGCCUGGGUGACAAACUGAGACCUUGUCUCAAAGAAACCAAAACAUUAAAAAUUAAAAAGAAGGAAAAUGAACAUGUGUAUGGUGCCCUAAAAACUGCCAUUUGGAAUUAAAUCAGAGAACUCUUAGAUAAAGACAACCUCUCAAGGCACCCCCUCUACCUCCCUCAUUGAAAACUCCCCUCCUUUUUGGUGAGUUUUGUUCACCCCUCCAAACAUAUGAGCUGGUUCCAAGCCUGCUGGGUUCACAUGAGACUUGAGAUCCAGAGCAGCCAAAGCCCACGAACUGCUUCUCACGGCGGAGGGGGAACAAGCACGUCUGAACUCCCCCAUCCACCCUUCUGCCUGGAGAUGGAUUUUUAUUUUCCUUCCUCCCUCCCUGGGAGGGAAUGACCCUCUGUGAAGUGCCCACUAAGGUGAGUAACCAAGCAGAGUGAGCAAAAGCCUGGAUGAUCCCCAACAGCCAAGCCGCCAGCCCCUCCCAACAGAGCGGCCUCUCCUCCCCUGGCAAAGUGGAUGCAACUUAGUCUAUCAUCUCUAUGCCCUGCCAUCACCAUGGCUGGCCCCCCAACUCCCCCUGUGCUCCACACUAACUGCAAAUCAUCUCUCUAAUGGAGAUGCCACCUCCACUUCUUUGAAAGCCCAUUCCCCUACAACAGAGCAUGAGAGACCCCCACUACUCCUUCCCCAAUAGCUGCAAGGUGAUCGCUCCAAGAUGGUCCCCAUCUCUGAGCUCAGAGACUGCUGGUUUACUUUAAGGCAGGCAUGGUGCCCAUUUCUUUUUCUUUUUCUUUCUUUUUUUCUUUUUGAGACGGAGUUUUGCCCUUUUUGCCCAGGCUGGAGUCCAAUGGCAUGGUCUCAGCUCACUGCAACAUCCACCUCCCAGGUUCAAGUGAUUCUCCUGACUCAGCCUCCCGAGUAGCUGGGAUUACAGGCGUGCCCACCACCAUGCCCGGCUAAUUUUUGUAUUUUCAGUAGAGACGGGAUUUCGACAUGUUGGUCAGGCUGGUCUCGAACUCCUGACCUCAGGUGGCCCGCCUGCCUCGGCCUCCCAAAGUGCUGGGAUUACAGGCAUGAACCACCAUGCCCGGCCCAUGCUGCUCAUUUCUAAAACACUUGUGGUUGAGAUGAGUCACCAGCUAGACCAACAUCCCAAAUCAUCCGCAGCACUAAAGUCAAUGAAAAAACCAAGGGGGAGACUUCAGGCUCCUGCAAAGGGAAGGGAGAACUUUUUCUUUUUGCCUCUGCAGGGCACCAAUGAGCCAGUGCGCUUCUGCAGAGAAGCAAAGGGCUGAUUCACGGCUCCAAGGGUUGCCACAUCUUGGGGGAGAUCGCCAAUGUGAGGGGCCACAGCCCCCCCAGAUAGAGCAAUGGAACCUGGGCGUCGUCUUUUGAAACAACAGCUUCAACAUACACAACUAUUAGCAACAAACCAGAACAAAGCAACACCUAAUCCUGCUGCUCAAAGCUUCAGAGCUUCAGUGAUGUUCACAAAAAAGAAACCUGUGAAAGCCAAGGUGCUAGCUGGUCCUGCAAUGCAUGAGACUCUGGGCCAGACACCUUCCUGCUUCUCCAGGCCACUCUCUACCCUCUCCACCUGCUGCUGGCUGGGCUUUAGUCCAAGGGGCAUGGAAAUCAGAGGAUGAAUGGAGGGAAUUUAUUCCUUCAGCUUCCUCCUGCAGGGUUACAGCAGGCUGGCCAUCCCAUCCCCAGACAAAGUCACUCCCUAGGUUCUAGGACUCCCUCCCCUCCCCACAUCAGGCCUGAGCUGGAAUGGCCUAUUACUAGUUUUUAGAUAGAAUGCACAACCCCCUGGGGUUCCUACACCUGCUCUUAAAACAUCCUCAAGGUUGCAGUGAGCCGAGAUUGAGCCACUGCACUCCAGCCUGGGUGACAGAGCAAGACUUCAUCUCAAAAAAAAAAAAAAGAAAAGAAAAAGGAAAAAAAGAAAAAAAAAUCCUCAAAUUAGGCUGGGCACAGUGGCUCACACCUAUAAUCCCAGCACUUUGGGAAGCUGAGGUGGGAGGAUCGCUUGAGCUCAGGAAUUUGAGACCAGGCUGAGCAACAUAGUAAUACCCCAUCUCUAUGAAAAAUUUUAAAAAUACAGAAAUUAGCGAGGCAUGGUGGUGUGCACCUGUAGUCCCAGCUACUCAGGAGGCUGAGGCUGGAAGAUCACUGGAGCCCAGGAGUUCAAGGCUGCAGUGAGCUAUGAUCGAGCCACUGCACUCCAGCCUGGGUGACAGAGCAAUAUCUUGUCUCAAUAAUAAUAAUAAAUUUUAAAAAAUCCUCAAAUUGCCUAAUCUGAGUGUGCCAUUGCUUGUUAAGACUCUAACAGAGACAUCAAUGAGGCUUACAUUGAAUACGCAAGUAUUUAUUACGCCCUUGAACCAAUGGCUUUGACAUGUUGUAAACAGGAACACUGAAAGACCCUCAUCUUGACCCAGGCCAUAGA
rnacentral:lncRNA from 10 species